rnacentral:misc_RNA from 1 species
GAUGAAGAACGUAGCGAAAUGCGAUACGUAAUGUGAAUUGCAGAUUUCAGUGAAUCAUCGAAUCUUUGAACGCACAUUUCGCCCGCUAGUAUUCUGGCGGGCAUGCCUGUUCGAGCGUCAUUUCAACCAUCAAGCCCUAGGCUUGCGUUGGAGCCCUGCGGCUGCCGCAGGCUCCCAAAUCCAGUGGCGGGCUCGUCGUCGUACCGAGUGCAGUAAACAUCCUCGCUCAGGGAACGUGACGGGUUCUUGCCGUGAAACCCCCCACAUAUCAAGGUUGACCUCGGAUCAGGUAGGAAUACCCGCUGAACUUAAGCAUAUCAAUAAGCGGAGGA